rnacentral:rRNA from 1 species
UACAGAGGGUGCAAGCGUUAAUCGGAAUUACUGGGCGUAAAGGGCGCGUAGGCGGCACUGUUAGUCAGGCGUGAAAGUCCUGGGCUCAACCUGGGAACUGCGCUUGAUACGGCAGAGCUAGAGGAUGGAAGAGGGUCGCGGAAUUCCCAGUGUAGAGGUGAAAUUCGUAGAUAUUGGGAAGACCACCAGUGGCGAAGGCGGCUUGCCAGAACGCGCUCGACGGUGAGGGAUGAAAG